GACGAACGCUGGCGGCGUGCUUAACACAUGCAAGUCGAACGGAAAGGCCCUUCUUUUGUGGUGUGCUCGAGUGGCGAACGGGUGAGUAACACGUGAGUAACCUGCGCUUGACUUUGGGAUAACUUCAGGAAACUGGGGCUAAUACCGGAUAGGUGCUCCUGCUGCAUUGUGUGGGUUGGAAAGUUUCGGCGGUUGGGGAUGGACUCGCGGCUUAUCAGCUUGUUGGUGGGGUGGUGGCUUACCAAGGCUUUGACGGGUAGCCGGCCUGAGAGGGUGACCGGCCAAAUUGGGACUGAGAUACGGCCCAGACUCCUACGGGAGGCAGCAGUGGGGAAUAUUGCACGAUGGGCGGAAGCCUGAUGCAGCAACGCCGCGUGCGGGAUGACGGCCGUCGGGUUGUAAACCGCUUUCGCCUGUGACGAAGCGUGAGUGACGGUAAUGGGUAAAGAAGCACCGGCUAACUACGUG
rnacentral:rRNA from 1 species